AUUGCUUCCUGGCCCUUUAGCUAAGAUCUAGUAUCUGGUUUAAUAAGUUUAAUGUCUUAGACGGCCUCUCUUUGAGGACUGUAUAAGUGGAUUUUGGGAGCAGGCAGCUGGAAUGGAGGCUUGUUCCAUCAACUCUGUACACUACGUGUUGCAGUCCCUCCGGAAAUGGUGCACCCCUU
rnacentral:snRNA from 1 species